AUGUUUUUUUUUUUUUCCCUCGGUCACCUAUUCACAUCAGGGGGCCACAACUGAGGAAACUUGGAACAAGGAUGCUUGAAAUGUAAAUCAAGUAAAUCUUUCAGGUGCCCAGUGGCUGAGCCACAAGGCUCUCAAGCUGCAUUAUAAUUAAGAUGUCAGCAUAUAUUGAUGAACUACAGGACUGUUCAGUUGUGCAUAACGGUAUAAAGGCAAGAAUGUGAACUUAAAAAUUAAUCCUAGCACUUCUGCUGUUCAUUUGGAGAUAAUGCCCUGAACUGAAAAAUACUGGAGUGUGAGAGGUUGCCAACCUGUGUUGAAGACAGUCAUCAUAAGUACAGUGAUAACUACAAAAGAUGACUUGGAAGUUCUGGAGGUCUAGUCUCAUGUAAAAAAAAAAAAAAAAAAAAAAAAAUCUGUGCGUCCAACUAAAGCUAGUAGUGAAAGUGUGUUAAUUCUUCUCCAGAAAAAGAAAUCUCAAAAUUUAGCAUUUAAAUAACUAGAUAAGAGGAAAAACUAUUAAUGAUCAAUUCAGUACAUCAUUAAUUCGUACUCAUUUGUUUUCAGCAUUAUUAAAAUCAAGUGACAGCUUGCUUUUAACACUGGGGUAUUUACAAGGUCUUCUACUGGAAGUAGAUAAUGUGGAUAUGUACUGUGUGGAGAAGUCAAAACAGUCUCUAAAAUGGUAGCUGAUGAAAGUUGUGAAGAGUACUGUUAUUUGGUGGAUGAAUCAAUCAUAGCUCCUAAAAUUCUUCACCGCCUUGUUUCUGUCUUGGUUUGUGUCUUACAACAAAUGCUUGCUUCAUAUGAAGGUGGAAUGUGCAAUUCCAUUUUAGUCUGGUUAAAGAGGAUUUCCUUUCCAAACAGAAAGGGGACUGGUUAAGUUUUGUUCUUCUUAAAAUUCUUAGUUCUAAGGCUCCAUAGAAAAUUGAAAAAUGCUACCGUGAUACUGUAAUUUGUACAACAAUCCUGAAAGAUUUCUUUAAUUUCACAAAUAUGAUUGAAAUGGAAUCUUAAUGUCUACACCUGUGGGAAUUGGUUGUAUUUAAUAGUCUUAAAUUUAAAGAUUCUAUAGCACCUCUCUAAUCUUUUGUCUAACUCUUUACUGACUCCUUGUCCAACAUGUUUGAGCUUGUCUCCACACACUUCAAAUAAACAUCUGGGGUUUCUUUGACAUGUAUCUAAAAUCUCAGGAAAUGUUUCAUUAAUGUGAAGAAGGCUGCAGAAGUGGAAAGUAAGCAUAAAGCUCUCCUGCAUAUGAGAAGUUGUGUAAAAUGACCUUGUUAUGUAGUUUCCUAUAGUAUAUUUUGAUAUGAGAGUGAAUUACAUUCGAGCAAUGGUUCACUUGUGAUCAUUUUUUCCUCUGUGAUUUCCUAUGUGGCUUUCUGGUUUUGUACUUUACCAUCCAAUCUGUUUUCCUCUUUGAAUUGUCUAAGUUACUUCCUCUGUCUUUAUUUCAAAUGGCUUCAGAACCUCUCACAUCUUGUGAAUGUAAUGCCAGGUAUUUUAAAUUCAAGAAAUUAUGAAAAAAUUUCACUCCCAUGUUUUGUGGCAAGAAACUUGUAUGACUUCUGAAUGUAUCAGUAUCUGUAAACUGUUCUUUUAAGGCAUGAGGCUAUUAACGAGCAUACCACACUUAUUAGGGUAAUUUAAGGAGCUUAUUGGCAAGAGACAGCCUUGAAAUAUUGCUUGAUAGUACAGUGAUUUCCUGUUUGAGCAUAAAAUGCGUAUUAUUAAUAUGUAAAGAACUUUGCACUAGGAAGUGAAAUAUUUUGUGUUUCCCUCCAUCUCUCAGGGUCAAAAGGAGACCAAAAGGUUUAGUAGGUUAUGGAGGAAGAACAGCUUGGACAUGAGAACAACCCAGAAAUAAACUGACAGGUAU
rnacentral:lncRNA from 7 species